UACGUAGGCAGCGAGCGUUGUUCGGAGUUACUGGGCGUAAAGAGUGCGUAGGCGGUUUUUUAAGUUUGGUGUGAAAUCUCCCGGCUUAACUGGGAGGGUGCGCCGAAGACUGGAAGGCUUGAGUAUGGGAGAGGGAUGUAGAAUUCCAGGUGUAGCGGUGAAAUGCGUAGAUAUCUGGAGGAAUACCGGUGGCGAAGGCGGCAUCCUGGACCAUUACUGACGCUGAGGCGCGAAAGCUAGGGGAGCAAACGGG
rnacentral:rRNA from 1 species